rnacentral:rRNA from 1 species
AGUGAACGCUGGCGGCGUGCCUAAUACAUGCAAGUCGAACGGAGUGGCGCACGGGUGAGUAAUAUAUAGCUAAUCUGCCCCUUUCUGGAGGACAACAGCUAGAAACGAAUGCUAAUACUCCAUAGGACGGGAUGAGACUAUAUCGUAUCAGCUAGUCGGUGAGGUAACGGCCGACCGAGGCUAUGACGCGUCACUGGUCUGCGAGGAUGAUCAGUAACAUUCGAACUGAGACACGUGUCAAACUCCUACGGAAGGCAACAGUAGAGAAUAUUGCGCUAUGGGUGAACCCGUGACGCAGCAACGCUCCGUGGAGGAUGACACUUUUCGGAGCGUAAACUCAUUUUGUUAGGGAAGCGGUACCUAACGAAUAAGCACCGGCUAACUCCGUGCCAGCAGCCGCGGUAAUAC